rnacentral:rRNA from 1 species
AACGAACGCUGGCGGCAUGCCUAACACAUGCAAGUCGAACGAUUGCCUUCGGGUGAUAGUGGCGCACGGGUGCGUAACGCGUGGGAAUCUGCCCUUAGGUUCGGAAUAACAGCUGGAAACGGCUGCUAAUACCGGAUGAUAUCGCGAGAUCAAAGAUUUAUCGCCUGAGGAUGAGCCCGCGUUGGAUUAGGUAGUUGGUGGGGUAAAGGCCUACCAAGCCGACGAUCCAUAGCUGGUCUGAGAGGAUGAUCAGCCACACUGGGACUGAGACACGGCCCAGACUCCUACGGGAAGGAGCAGUGGGGAAUAUUGGAAAAUGGGCGGAAGCCUGAUCCAGCAAUGCCGCGUGAGUGAUGAAGGCCCUAGGGUUGUAAAGCUCUUUUACCCGGGAAGAUAAUGACUGUACCGGGAGAAUAAGCCCCGGCUAACUCCGUG